AUUGAACGCUGGCGGCAGGCCUAACACAUGCAAGUCGAACGCGAAAGUCCUUCGGGAUGAGUAGAGUGGCGGACGGGUGAGUAACGCGUAGGAAUCUGUCCGGUAGUGGGGGAUAACGUUCCGAAAGGAACGCUAAUACCGCAUACGCCCCAUGGGGGAAAGCGGGGGAUCUUCGGACCGCGCGCUAUCGGAGGAGCCUGCGUCGGAUUAGCUAGUGGGUAGGGUAAAGGCCUACCAAGGCGACGAUCCGUAGCUGGUCUGAGAGGAUGAUCAGCCACACCGGAACUGGGACACGGUCCGGACUCCUACGGGAGGCAGCAGUGGGGAAUAUUGCGCAAUGGGGGCAACCCUGACGCAGCCAUGCCGCGUGUGUGAAGAAGGCCUUCGGGUUGUAAAGCACUUUCAGAGGGGAGGAAAGGGCGCUGGCUAAUAUCCAGCGCAGUUGACGCUACCCUCAGAAGAAGCACCGGCUAAUUCCGUGCCAGCAGCCGCGGUAAUAC
rnacentral:rRNA from 1 species